rnacentral:rRNA from 1 species
UACGUAGGGACCGAGCGUUGUCCGGAUUCAUUGGGCGUAAAGAGCUCGUAGGCGGCUUGUCACGUCGGAUGUGAAAGCCCGGGGCUUAACUCCGGGUCUGCAUUCGAUACGGGCUGGCUAGAGUGUGGUAGGGGAGAUCGGAAUUCCUGGUGUAGCGGUGAAAUGCGCAGAUAUCAGGAGGAACACCAGUGGCGAAGGCGGUUCUCUGGGCAUUACCUGACGCUGAGGAGCGAAAGUGUGGGGAGCGAACAGG